UACGGGGGGGGCAAGCGUUGUUCGGAAUUACUGGGCGUAAAGGGCUGGUAGGCGGCCAACUAAGUCGGAUGUGAAAUCCCCAGGCUUAACCUGGGAACUGCAUCCGAUACUGGUUGGCUUGAAUCCGGGAGAGGGAUGCAGAAUUCCAGGUGUAGCGGUGAAAUGCGUAGAUAUUGGGAGGAAUACCGGUGGCGAAGGCGGCUCUCUGGACCGGUACUGACGCUGAUGCGCGAAAGCGUGGGUAGCAAACAGG
rnacentral:rRNA from 1 species